rnacentral:rRNA from 1 species
CCCGCGAGGGAACGGGUGGAUUUAUUAGAACAGAACCAACCGGUUGUGGUUCGCGCCACUUCCGUUGCACUCUGUGAUGACUCUGGAUAACUUCACUGAUCGCAGUCGGCCUUGUGUCGGCGACGGAUCUUUCAAAUGUCUGCCCUAUCAAUUUUCGAUGGUAGGUGACCUGCCUACCAUGGUGAUAACGGGUAACGGGGAAUCAGGGUUCGAUUCCGGAGAGGGAGCCUGAGAAACGGCUACCACUUCCAAGGAAGGCAGCAGGCGCGCAAACUACCCAAUCCCGGCACGGGGAGGUGGUGACGAAAAAUACGGAUACGGGACUCAUCAGAGGCUCCGUAAUUCGAAUGAGUACACUUUAAAUCCUUUAACGAGGAUCAACUGGAGGGCAAGUCUGGUGCCAGCAGCCGCGGUAACUCCAGCUCCAGAAGCGUAUAUUAAAGUUGUUGCAGUUAAAAAGCUCGUAGUUGGAUCUGGGUCGCAUGGCUACAUGCUGCGCUCGUAUUUCUAAUCUGGUUACGACCGGAACGGAUUUGUGAGUCAGUGUCGUGGUUGUGCAGCCUUUUUGCCGUGUCUGGUUUACAGGUGCUGGCUAUCGGUGGGCUCGUCCCAUCGUUUAGUUGGCAUGCUUCUCGAUGCCUUUCAACGGGUGUCGGAUGCGGACGGCACGUUUACUUUGAACAAAUUUGAGUGCUCAGAGCAGGCCAUUGAGCCUGAAAAUUCUUGCAUGGAAUAAUGAAAUAGGACUUCGGUUCUAUUUUGUUGGUUUUCGGAUCCGAAGUAAUGGUUAAGAGGGACAGACGGGGGCAUUUGUAUGGCGGUGUUAGAGGUGAAAUUCUUGGAUCGCCGCCAGACAAACUACAGCGAAAGC